rnacentral:tRNA from 1 species
GCCUUCGUGGUGUAAUGGUCAGCACACUGAGCCGGUAUUUCAGAGGUCCGCGGUUCGAUCCCCGGCGAAGACA